GAGAGAGAGAGAGAGAGAGAGAGAGAGACU
rnacentral:ncRNA from 2 species